GUUAGUGGCGAAAGGGUGAGGAAUAGAUAGGAACGUACCCUGUGCUCUGGGAUAGCGUCUGAAGCUUCGGCUUCUUCCGAAAGGGGCGGUAAUACCAGUUAAUGUCCUUCGGGACCAAAGAUUUAUCGGCAUUGGAGCGGNCUAUCUCCUAUCAGCUUGUUGGUGAGGUAACGGCUCACCAAGGCAACGACGGGUAGCGGGACUGAGAGGUUGGCCCGCCACAUCGGGACUGAGACACUGCCCGGACCUCCACGGAGGGCUGCAGUAACGGAUAUUGGGCAAUGGGCGAAAGCCUGACCCAGCAAUGCCGCGUGCAGGAUGAAGCCCCUAGGGGUGUAAACUGCUGUCAGGGGUCAGAAAGCUGGUUUCGGCCGGUUGAUCAACCCCAGAGGAAGUCACGGCUAACUUCGUGCCAGCAGCCGCGGUAAUACGAAGGUGGCAAGCGUUAUUCGGAAUCAUUGGGCUUAAAGGGCACGCAGGCGGAACAGUGUGUGUUGUGUGAAAUCCCCCGGCUUAACCGGGGAAUUGCACAGCAAACUGCUGUUCUUGAGGCAGGUAGGGGUGCAUGGAACUCUUGGUGGGGCGGUGGAAUGCGUAGAUAUCAAGAGGAACGCCAGAGGUGAAGACGGUGCACUGGGCCUGUCCUGACGCUGAGGUGCGAAAGCGUGGGGAGCGAACGGGAUUAGAUACCCCGGUAGUCCACGCCGUAAACGAUGUCUACUAGGUCGUGGGUGUUCUGACACAUUCACGGCCGGAGCAAAAGUGUUUAGUAGACCGCCUGGGGAGUACGGCCGCAAGGUUAAAACUCAAAUGAAUUGACGGGGGCUCACACAAGCGGUGGAGCAUGUGGAUUAAUUCGAAGCAACGCGCAGAACCUUACCUGGGUUUGACAUGCUUGUAUGCCUUCUCUGAAAGGAGUUAGGCUGCCUUCGGGUGAAACUUGCACAGGUGCUGCAUGGCUGUCGUCAGCUCGUGUCGUGAGAUGUCGGGUUAAGUCCUUUAACGAGCGAAACCCUUGCCGUUAGUUGCCAGCGAGUAAUGUCGGGGACUCUAACGGGACUGCCGGUGUUAAACCGGAGGAAGGUGGGGAUGACGUCAAGUCCUCAUGGCCUUUAUGCCCAGGGCUUCACACGUGCUACAAUGGCAAUUACAGAGCGACGCGAUAC
rnacentral:rRNA from 1 species